ACCUGGGUGGCUCAGUGGUUGAGCAUCUGGCUUUGGCUCAGGUUGUGAUCUGAGGGAUUGGUGUGGGAUUGGGUCCCACAUCAGGCU
rnacentral:tRNA from 1 species